rnacentral:rRNA from 1 species
UUGGGGUUGCGGACAUAUCAUAACGAAGAGGUAUCGUAAUUGAAGAGGUUUGGAAAGACCCACCACAGAAGGUAAUAGUCCUGUAUGUUAAACGAGAAGACUUUAGAUAUGAUCCAGAGUACCACGGGACACGUGAAACCCUGUGGGAAGCAGGAGGGACCACCCUCCAAGGCUAAAUACUACCUAGUGACCGAUAGCGUAUAGUACCGUGAGGGAAAGGUGAAAAGAACCCCGGGAGGGGAGUGAAAUAGAACCUGAAACCCUGCACUUACAAGCUGUGGAAGCACAUUUCUUGUGUGACCGCGUACUUUUUGUAGAACGGGCCAACGAGUUACGUUAAGUAGCAAGGUUAAGCACUUAAGGUGCGGGGCCGUAGCGAAAGCGAGUUUUAACUGAGCGUUCAGUUACUUGACGUAGACCCGAAACCGGGCGACCUACCCAUGAGCAGGAUGAAGCGAAAGUAAAAUUUCGUGGAGGUCCGAACCCACGAGCGUUG